rnacentral:misc_RNA from 1 species
GGCAGGCAGGGAGGCCCAGAGAGGCAGGAAGGCCCAGACAGGGAAGGCGUUAGGAGGGGAGGCCCAGACAGGGAAGGCGGCCCCCGGGCCAGUGUGUUCGACCUGAAGGCCAUCGCCUCCCUGCUGCGGCUGCCAGACGUCCCGAGGAUCUUCCUGGUGAAGGUGGCCUCCAACUGCCCCACAGGGCUCUUCAUGGUCAUGUUCUCCAUCAUCUCCAUGGACUUCUUCCAGCUGGAGGCCGCCCAAGCUGGCUACCUCAUGUCCUUCUUCGGGCUCCUCCAGAUGGUGACCCAGGGCCUGGUCAUCGGGCAGCUGAGCAGCCACUUCUCGGAGGAGGUGCUGCUCCGGGCCAGCGUGCUGGUCUUCAUCGUGGUGGGCCUGGCCAUGGCCUGGAUGUCCAGCGUCUUCCACUUCUGCCUCCUGGUGCCCGGCCUGGUGUUCAGCCUCUGCACCCUCAACGUGGUCACCGACAGCAUGCUGAUCAAGGCUGUCUCCACCUCGGACACAGGGACCAUGCUGGGCCUCUGCGCCUCUGUACAACCACUGCUCCGAACUCUGGGACCCACGGUCGGCGGCCUCCUGUACCGCAGCUUUGGCGUCCCCGUCUUCGGCCACGUGCAGGUUGCUAUCAAUACCCUUGUCCUCCUGGUCCUCUGGAGGAAACCUAUGCCCCAGAGGAAGG